CGAGCAGGCGGACCUGUAAGUGGAUUGUGAAAUCUCCCGGCUCAACUGGGAGAGGCCGGUCCAGACUGCGGGUCUAGAGGACGGUAGAGGGAGGUGGAAUUCCCGGUGUAGUGGUGAAAUGCGUAGAUAUCGGGAGGAACACCAGUGGCGAAAGCGGCCUCCUGGACCGUUUCUGACGCUGAGAUGCGAAAGCUAGGGGAGCAAACG
rnacentral:rRNA from 1 species